UCAGGUGAUCCGACCACCUCAGCCCUCCCAAAGUGCUGGGAUUACAGGCCUGACCCACUGCACCUGGCCUCUCUCCCUGUAUCUUCAAAGCCAAGAAGGAACUUCUGUCCCCUUGGUUAGGGUCAGGGUCCCAGAGAUCCAGGGUCAAGGCUACAGCCGCCUCCCAAGGACGUGCAUCCCUGCAAGAGGCUGCAUCCAGCAGUCAUGGAAGAGGCUCCGCUGGGGCCUGCUCCAAUUCCUGCUGGGGAAAGCAAGUGGAGGUGCCCCUUGAAGAAACAGUAAGGCCACCAAUCUCGGGGGUUCUGUCCUGACCUGCGGCCCUGGAUCAUCCAGCCUCUGCUGGGAUGGCAGCAGACGACGCCCUUCUUGGCUGGAGCUGAGGGUGGGGGUCCCGCUUCCCCAAAGGCCUAGCCCUGGAUUCCAGCCACAGGUUCUACUGAGCAGCGCCUGGCGCUGCCCCGCCCCUCCAGGCCUGGCACUCGCCCUCAACAAACAUGGCGCCUAUGGCCUCACGCGCGCCAUGCCGCACGCGCCUCAGGCGACAAGCUCGCAGGGCUUCCCCUGCGCCGCUCUCAUCCCCUCAGACUGGCUGACAAGAGGAGGAGCGGGAAAUAUGACCUGGCUGGUGGCGGUGUCCUGGGCGGCUCUCCGGCGGCUGUUGUGUGGCUGCCCGCAGGCGCUGCUGGGCGGGAUGCUGUACACCCGGCAGAGCGCAUCGCGGGAGCGCAAGGAGCUGGACGGCCUCUGAAGCUUCCUAGCCGACUUCUCCAACAACCGACUCCCGGGCUUCUAGGAGAGGCGCCUGGAAGCCCGGCGUUGGGAAUGGCCUAAGCCCCGGCGCCCUGCGGCCUCCUUCACCUGAAUGCCCGGAAGCUGGGGGCCCGGAGGAGGUUAAAGUUGGGCCCCACCUUGGACAUACCAGUUUCCAUUUUCAAUGACAUCAGCCAGGACUGGCGGCUGCAGCAUUUUGUCGGCUGGAUGUGGUAUGAACGGGAGGUGACCCUGCUGAAGCGAUGGAUCCAGGACCUGCACAUAAGAGUGGUGCUGAGGAUUGGCAGUGCCCACUUCUAUGCCAUUGUGGUCAGUGUGGCGAGGAGCAGGCAGGGCAGUGGGUGAUUGGCUAGAGCAUGAAAGGGGCUACCUCCCCUUCGAGGCUGACAGCAGCAGUCUAUUCCAGGUGGGGCCCCUGCCCUCCCCCCUCUGCGUCAUCAACUGUCACCAUCAACAACACGCUCGCCCCCCACCCUGCCACCAGGGACCAUCCGUACAUGACCGACAACUCCAAGUAUCCCAAGGGUUACUUUGUCCAGAACACAGACUUUGACUUCUUCAACUAUGCGGGACUACAGCGGUCUGUGCUUCUGUACACGACACCAACUACCUACAUCGAUGACAUCACCAUCACCACUGGUGUGGAGUGAGACAGAGGCUGAUCCCAAACUCCUGACAUCAAGUGGUUCGCCAGCCGUUGCCUCCCAAAAUGUUGGGAUUACAGACGUGAGCCACCGCGCCUGGCCUUUUGAGAAAUCUGUUGACUGUUUAUCCGUGUUGCCACAAAAGACAUUAUGUCAUCAAUCUUUGUUGUUGGGGCGUAUUUCGUUGUGUCCAUAUACUGAAGUUCCUUCAUCCCUUCAUCAGUUGCAGGACAGGUUUCUCCAAGUGGUUGCAGAUGACAUGAUUUCCUGAAGUAUUAGAGCUGAUGUGUGUUUCAUUGUGUAUAUAUACUGUGGUUCCUUUAUCCCUUCAUGUGUGGAUAGACAGGUAGGUUGAUUCCACAUCUCGGCUAUUGUGACUAGUGCUUCAGGACACAUGAAAAGGCAGAUAACACAGGGUUUUCGUUUUCUCUAAACAUGUACCCA